AGUGAACGCUGGCGGUAGGCCUAACACAUGCAAGUCGAACGGCAGCACAGUAAGAGCUUGCUCUUACGGGUGGCGAGUGGCGGACGGGUGAGGAAUACAUCGGAAUCUACUUUUUCGUGGGGGAUAACGUAGGGAAACUUACGCUAAUACCGCAUACGACCUACGGGUGAAAGCAGGGGAUCUUCGGACCUUGCGCGAUUGAAUGAGCCGAUGUCGGAUUAGCUAGUUGGCGGGGUAAAGGCCCACCAAGGCGACGAUCCGUAGCUGGUCUGAGAGGAUGAUCAGCCACACUGGAACUGAGACACGUUCCAGACUCCCAGGGGAGGCAGCAGUGGGAAUAUUGGACAAUGGGCGCAAGCCUGAUCCAGCCAUACCGCGUGGGUGAAGAAGGCCUUCGGGUUGUAAAGCCCUUUUGUUGGGAAAGAAAAGCAGCAGGUUAAUACCCCGCUGUUCUGACGGUACCCAAAGAAUAAGCACCGGCUAACUUCGUG
rnacentral:rRNA from 1 species